rnacentral:lncRNA from 1 species
GAAACCGUAAGUCGUAGACACCUAGGAUCUUCACCAAUCAUCAUCAAUUCAUGUAUCUUUGAAAAAUACCUCAAGGUCAAAUUUGUAUGUUGACCUUGACCUUUGACCUAACACCUUGUUAUGGGAUAAUCUCAGAAACCAUUAUACUUACAGAAAUUUUAAAUAGUGGAAAAUGUUUGGGUCAUUACGGCGCAACUUUGUUACAUUUUGACAGCAGAGAUUUGACCUUUUUUUAAGGGGCAUAAAGCCUCUUUUACGUUUCUGAAAAGACAAAAUCAGCUUUUACUACAUAACCGAAGGUCCUAGACCCAUGGGGUCUUCAGCAAUGACAUUGGGGACUAAUGACCUUGACAAAGGUCAAAAGGUCAAAGGUCAAGGUCAUGUCCAAGAUAGCGAAUUUAGUGUUUUUAACCUUAUUUAAAGGAUUUUCAGUGUGUUUUAAAGCUUUUCAAUACAUUCUACGUCUAUUUGAACAUGUAUUUUACAUUGCGAAAGGAAAGACCUCUCAAUUGUUCAAGAACAAUUGACAGUUUAAUUAUUAUUAUUUUUUUUUUUUCUUCCGCCAACUUUUUUUCCUUCGCUGUUUUUUUGUUUCACAAGAUGUCGCUUAGAUAUAUGGUAUAUGAUAUCGAACAGUUAAUACGCUUCUGAAACUGACACCGCGUAACAAAAAACUUUACCUUGUAAGAGUUAUCUCCCCGAACACUGUUUUUCUUGUUAUCUCUAAGGCUUCGCAACCGUAUAAGAAACCGACAAAUUUAUUUUUCCAAAUUGCUCGUUAUAUCCUCAGGAUGUUCUGUUUUAUUUUGACCGAAGCUAUCCGGAGACUCCAUAUGAGAGUUAUCCCCCUUUUAUAUAUGAUAUAAGUGAUAUGCAUUUCUAACUGGUAAACCAUAAGUGAUAGAGACCUAGGGUCUUUUGAUUUAAGAUCCUUGGUCCAAAAAAAUGAAAAUUAGGUCAAGGUCAAAGGUCAAGGUCAAAUUCUAAAUUUUGAUUUUGGCUUAUUUUCACUUAUUUUCAUUAACCUUAUAAGAUAUCGACAAAUUAUUUUUACUAAAUUGUUAGUUGCGACAUGUCGUAACUUAUAAAUUUUGGUUGCAAGGGUGCGUAGACAAUAAAUGGGAGUUUUUCGCCCCUCUUAUAUUUAGAAUUAUGCGUAAAGUGAUAUUACUCAUGAACCAUACAUAUUAAGGAACUAGUGUCUUUUGAUUUGAGAUGUUUAGUCUAUGACCUUGAAAUUGAGGUCAAGGUCAUAGGUUAAUUGGACGUUCUAGAUUUUGACCUUUGCUUUAAAUUCAUAUUUAUACAUCAUAAAGCCAUAGGAACUGACAUUUUCAACUGAAUUUUAAUAUUUUCAUAUCAAAAUAGAUCUUUAUUAGUUGAAAGACCUUCAAUUGUUCUCUGAACAAUUGGUUUUUAAUUAUUAUUUUCCAUUUCCGUGGAAAGACCUAUUGGAUUUCUUCUGAUUAUUAUUAUUUUUUUUUUUUUUUUCUUCCGCCUAAUUUUUUUCCUUCGCUGUUUUUUUGUUUCGCAAGAUGUCGCUUAGAUUUUUGGAAUAUGAUAUCGAACAGUUUAUACGCUUUUGAAACCAACUCUGCUUAACCAAAUACUUUCCCAAAUAAGAGUUAUCUCCCCAAACACUGUUUUUCUUGUUAUCUCUAAGGCUUCGCAACCGUAUAAGAAACCGACAAAUUUAUUUUUCCAAAUUGCUCGUUAUAUCCUUCAGGAUGUUCUGUUUUAUUUUGACCGAAGCCGUAUCCGAUAGAUUCCAUAUGAGAGUUAUUCCCCCCUUUUAUGUUUUGAUAUAAGAAUAUGCAUUUCUAACUGGUAAACCAUAAGUGAUAGAGACCUAGGGUCUUUUGAUUUAAGAUCCUUGGUCCAAAAAAAUGAAAAUUAGGUCAAGGUCAAAGGUCAAGGUCAUAUUCUAAAUUUUGAUUUUGGCUUAUUUUCACUUAUUUUCAUUAACCUUAUAAGAUAUCGACAAAUUAUUUUUACUAAAUUGUUAGUUGCGACAUGUCGUAACUUAUAAAUUUUGGUUGAAAGGGUGCGUAGACAAUAAAUGGGAGUUUUUGCCCCUCUUAUAUUUUAGAAUUAUGCGUAAAGUGAUAUUACUCAUGAACCAUACAUAUUAAGGAACUAGUGUCUUUUGAUUUGAGAUCCUUAGUCUAUGACCUUGAAAUUGAGGUCAAGGUCAUAGGUUAAUUGGACGUUCUAGAUUUUGACCUUUGCUUUAAAUUCAUAUUUAUACAUCAUAAAGCAUAGGAACUGACAUUUUCAACUGAAUUUUUAAUAUUUUCAUAUCAAAAUAGAUUUAAGUGGUGGAAAGACCUUCAAUUGUUCUCUGAACAAUUGGUUUUUAAUUAUUAUUAUUUUUUUUUUUUUUUUCUUCCGCCUAAUUUUUUUUCCUUCGCUGUUUUUUUUGUUUCGCAAGAUGUCGCUUAGAUAUUUGGAAUAUGAUAUCGAACAGUUUAUACGCUUUUGAAACCAAACUCUGCUUAACCGAAUACUUUCCAAAAAAGAGUUAUCUCCCCGAACACUGUUUUUCUUGUUAUCUCUAAGGCUUCGCAACCGUAUAAGAAACCGACAAAUUUAUUUUUCCAAAUUGCUCGUUAUAUCCUCAGGAUGUUCUGUUUUAUUUUGACCGAAGCCGUAUAUAGAUUCCAUAUGAGAGUUAUCCCCCUUUUAUGUUUGAUAUAAGUGAUAUGCAUUUCUAACUGGUAAACCAUAAGUGAUAGAGACCUAGGGUCUUUUGAUUUGAGAUCCUUGGUCCAAAAAAAUGAAAAUAAGGUCAAGGUCAAAGGUCAAGGUCAUAUUAUAAAUUUUGAUUUUGGCUUAUUUUCACUUAUUUUCAAAAGCCGUAUAACUUAUCGACAAAUUAUUUUUACUAAAUUGUUAGUUGCGACAUGUCGUAACUUAUAAAUUUUGGUUGAAAGGGUGCGUAGACAAUAAAUGGGAGUUUUCGCCCCUCUUAUAUUUAGAAUUAUGCGUAAAGUGAUAUAACUCAUAAACCAUACAUAUUAAGGAACUAGUGUCUUU